AUUGAACGCUGGCGGCGUGCCUUACACAUGCAAGUCGAACGGCAGCGGACCUUCGGGUGCCGGUGAGUGGCGAACGGGUGAGUAAUGCAUCGGAACGUACCUUUCAGUGGGGGAUAACGUAGCGAAAGUUACGCUAAUACCGCAUAUUCUGUGAGCAGGAAAGCAGGGGAUCGCAAGACCUUGCGCUGAUUGAGCGGUCGAUGUCAGAUUAGCUAGUUGGUGAGGUAAAGGCUCACCAAGGCGACGAUCUGUAGCGGGUCUGAGAGGAUGAUCCGCCACACUGGAACUGAGACACGGUCCAGACUCCUACGGGAGGCAGCAGUGGGGAAUUUUGGACAAUGGGGGCAACCCUGAUCCAGCCAUGCCGCGUGAGUGAAGAAGGCCUUCGGGUUGUAAAGCUCUUUCGGCCGGGAAGAAAUCGCACGGGCUAAUACCCUGUGUGGAUGACGGUACCGGAAUAAGAAGCACCGGCUAACUACGUGCCAGCAGCCGCGGUAAUAC
rnacentral:rRNA from 1 species